GCCACGCCCCCGCGGGCCGGGGUGACGCGGAGCUGCUUCGUGCGCGCUCCGCAGCCGCCGCCUCCGCGCGUGGCCCGGCUCGGGGGUGGCGGGCGCGGGCGCGGGCGGUCCGGCAGCCCGGCUCCAGACACGGCGGCGCUCGGAGCGGGGUGGCCGGGCCGGGCCGGGCGGCACGACGCCGGGAGCACGCGCCCACCCACGGCAGGCGCUCAGCCCGCCCAGCACGGGCGGCGAGGCCGGGGCGCUACGAGCCGGCCGGCCGACCGGCCUCAGCGGGGCUUGGUAACACGACUGCACGACGGUGUGGGCGAGCGCCCCGCGGCCCGGCCCGGCCCGGCCCGGCCCGGCACGGCGAGCGCGCAGCUGCGCAGGGACCCCGCCCGGCUGCCAACGAGGGAAGAUGUGCGCCCGGCCGGGGCCAGGCUCUCCCCGGGGCAGCGCCGACACCGGAGCCGUCGGGCUGGAGACGGGCCGGGCCCAGGAGGCCCGUGGCGGUCCCAGGGGCCGGGAGGCACCGGCAGCUCCCCCGGACCCGCCUCAAGCACUUGUGCGUCAAACACGCGGCUCGUGCUCGCCCCGAGCCACGUGCAUCUCGCAGCUCCCACACCGCCUUCCUCCUCGCCUGCUGUUAAUCGCGCGUGCCCAGCGCACCUCCUUUGCCAAAGGUUUUGGUAGCUAGAUGAUGGAGCCAGUGGAAUUCUGGUAUUGAUUUUUGUGACAUGGACAAUUACAACAAAAUUCCCGAGGAGGCUGAGCUACCCCAGUUCCAGAUGUGGAACACACUGACCUUUCCAACAGAAACGAAGGCAAAAUGUAGAGCAGGAGUAAGACUCAAGAGUGGGUCAUUUCAAACUUCUACUUAGAACAUCUGCUGUAACACCACGAGAGAGGAAUCUCAGGACUGAAGUUACCAUAAAACAGCAGUUUUGUUUUA